AGGGUNUNCGCCCNNUAGUGNUGAAGUUAANGCAUUAAGCACUCCGCNUGGGGAGUACGGCCGCAAGGCUGAAACUCAAAGGAAUUGACGGGGGCCCGCACAAGCGGUGGAGCAUGUGGUUUAAUUNGAAGCAACGCGAAGAACCUUACCAGGUCUUGACAUCCUCUGAAAACCCUAGAGAUAGGGCUUCUCCUUCGGGAGCAGAGUGACAGGUGGUGCAUGGUUGUCGUCAGCUCGUGUCGUGAGAUGUUGGGUUAAGUCCCGCAACGAGCGCAACCCUUGAUCUUAGUUGCCAUCAUUAAGUUGGGCACUCUAAGGUGACUGCCGGUGACAAACCGGAGGAAGGUGGGGAUGACGUCAAAUCAUCAUGCCCCUUAUGACCUGGGCUACACACGUGCUACAAUGGACGGUACAAAGAGCUGCAAGACCGCGAGGUGGAGCUAAUCUCAUAAAACCGUUCUCAGUUCGGAUUGUAGGCUGCAACUCGCCUACAUGAAGCUGGAAUCGCUAGUAAUCGCGGAUCAGCAUGCCGCGGUGAAUACGUUCCCGGGCCUUGUACACACCGCCCGUCACACCACGAGAGUUUGUAACACCCGAAGUCGGUGGGGUAACCUUUAUGGAGCCAGCCGCNUAAGUGACG
rnacentral:rRNA from 1 species